UACGUAGGGGGCGAGCGUUGUCCGGAUUUAUUGGGCGUAAAGAGCUCGUAGGCGGUUUGGCAAGUCGGGUGUGAAAACUCCGGGCUCAACUCGGAGACGCCACUCGAUACUGCUAUGACUCGAGUCCGGUAGGGGAGUGCGGAAUUCCUGGUGUAGCGGUGAAAUGCGCAGAUAUCAGGAGGAACACCGGUGGCGAAGGCGGGUCUCUGGGCCGUAACUGACGCUGAGGAGCGAAAGCGUGGGGAGCGAACAGG
rnacentral:rRNA from 1 species